GAAGAAACGUCGUGUGUCGAGGCUAAAAUGUUAGCGAACAAGAUGAAGUGUGAAAGGUGUUAGGUCCGGUGGGGAGCUAAAGGGUCUGGCGAAGCCCCUGAGGACCAUUCAACAAAAACCAUACCAAGGGCAGACAAUUCACAUCUGCUGUGAUGAGACCGCGAAGCCCAUUGUGAAAAUUAGUAUCAACAUGGACGGAGCUGCAGAGGAGUGGAGCACUGAGGGAGGACCAGCGAGGAGACGAACACACAGUCAACUAGACAAACCUGCAGCCCAGCUCUGGUGACAAGCUUAUUCCAGCGGGGUAACACACAGAGACACCCCUGCAAUCACUGGACAUACUCACCACAUUCCUGCAGUCCAGCUCUAAUGUCAUCACAUUGCCUAAACAUUACAGAAUGCUCCUCAGGACGAUUGGGGCCACUGAUUCAGCCUACAGUCUCUGGUAUGUGAGGGAUUCUGUGAGCAGGCUACGAAUCCAAGAGUCAUCUCUGCUGAGC